AUUGAACGCUGGCGGCAGGCCUAACACAUGCAAGUCGAACGGUAGCACAGAGAGCUUGCUCUCGGGUGACGAGUGGCGGACGGGUGAGUAAUGUCUGGGAAACUGCCCGAUGGAGGGGGAUAACUACUGGAAACGGUAGCUAAUACCGCAUAAUGUCGCAAGACCAAAGAGGGGGACCUUCGGGCCUCUUGCCAUCGGAUGUGCCCAGAUGGGAUUAGCUUGUAGGUGAGGUAACGGCUCACCUAGGCGACGAUCCCUAGCUGGUCUGAGAGGAUGACCAGCCACACUGGAACUGAGACACGGUCCAGACUCCUACGGGAGGCAGCAGUGGGGAAUAUUGCACAAUGGGCGCAAGCCUGAUGCAGCCAUGCCGCGUGUAUGAAGAAGGCCUUCGGGUUGUAAAGUACUUUCAGCGGGGAGGAAGGGAGUGAGGUUAAUAACCUUAUUCAUUGACGUUACCCGCAGAAGAAGCACCGGCUAACUCCGUGCCAGCAGCCGCGGUAAUACGGAGGGUGCAAGCGUUAAUCGGAAUUACUGGGCGUAAAGCGCACGCAGGCGGUCUGUCAAGUCGGAUGUGAAAUCCCCGGGCUCAACCUGGGAACUGCAUUCGAAACUGGCAGGCUGGAGUCUUGUAGAGGGGGGUAGAAUUCCAGGUGUAGCGGUGAAAUGCGUAGAGAUCUGGAGGAAUACCGGUGGCGAAGGCGGGCCCCUGGACAAAGACUGACGCUCAGGUGCGAAAGGGGGGGAGCAAACAGGAUUAGAUACCCUGGUAGUCCACGCUGUAAACGAUGUCGACUUGGAGGUUGUUCCCCUGAGGGAGUGGCUUCCGGAGCUAACGCGUUAAGUCGACCGCCUGGGGAGUACGGCCGCAAGGUUAAAACUCAAAUGAAUUGACGGGGGCCCGCACAAGCGGUGGAGCAUGUGGUUUAAUUCGAUGCAACGCGAAGAACCUUACCUACUCUUGACAUCCAGAGAACUUAGCAGAGAUGCCUUGGUGCCUUCGGGAACUCUGAGACAGGUGCUGCAUGGCUGUCGUCAGCUCGUGUUGUGAAAUGUUGGGUUAAGUCCCGCAACGAGCGCAACCCUUAUCCUUUGUUGCCAGCGGUCCGGCCGGGAACUCAAAGGAGACUGCCAGUGAUAAACUGGAGGAAGGUGGGGAUGACGUCAAGUCAUCAUGGCCCUUACGAGUAGGGCUACACACGUGCUACAAUGGCAUAUACAAAGAGAAGCGACCUCGCGAGAGCAAGCGGACCUCAUAAAGUAUGUCGUAGUCCGGAUUGGAGUCUGCAACUCGACUCCAUGAAGUCGGAAUCGCUAGUAAUCGUGGAUCAGAAUGCCACGGUGAAUACGUUCCCGGGCCU
rnacentral:rRNA from 1 species